GAACGCUGGCGGCGUGCCUAACACAUGCAAGUCGAACGGAGUCCAGCCUUUAAGACCUUCGGGUCAAAGAGGGGAAGACUGAGUGGCGGACGGGUGAGUAACACGUGGGCAACCUGGCUCAUAGAGGGGGAUAACAGAGAGAAAUUUCUGCUAAUACCGCAUAAGCACACACUGCCGCAUGGCAGAGGGUGAAAAGAGAAUCGCUAUGAGAUGGACCCGCGUCUGAUUAGCCAGUUGGCAGGGUAAGAGCCUACCAAAGCGACGAUCAGUAGCCGAUCUGAGAGGAUGAACGGCCACAUUGGGACUGAGACACGGCCCAAACUCCUACGGGAGGCAGCAGUGGGGGAUAUUGCACAAUGGGGGGAACCCUGAUGCAGCGACGCCGCGUGAGUGAAGAAGUAUUUCGGUAUGUAAAGCUCUAUCAGCAGGGAAGAUAAUGACAGUACCUGAAUAAGAAGCCCCGGCUAACUACGUG
rnacentral:rRNA from 1 species